rnacentral:rRNA from 20 species
AAAUUGAAGAGUUUGAUCAUGGCUCAGAUUGAACGCUGGCGGCAGGCCUAACACAUGCAAGUCGAACGGUAACAGGAAGCAGCUUGCUGCUUUGCUGACGAGUGGCGGACGGGUGAGUAAUGUCUGGGAAACUGCCUGAUGGAGGGGGAUAACUACUGGAAACGGUGGCUAAUACCGCAUAACGUCGCAAGACCAAAGAGGGGGACCUUCGGGCCUCUUGCCAUCAGAUGUGCCCAGAUGGGAUUAGCUUGUUGGUGAGGUAACGGCUCACCAAGGCGACGAUCCCUAGCUGGUCUGAGAGGAUGACCAGCCACACUGGAACUGAGACACGGUCCAGACUCCUACGGGAGGCAGCAGUGGGGAAUAUUGCACAAUGGGCGCAAGCCUGAUGCAGCCAUGCCGCGUGUAUGAAGAAGGCCUUCGGGUUGUAAAGUACUUUCAGCGGGGAGGAAGGUGUUGUGGUUAAUAACCACAGCAAUUGACGUUACCCGCAGAAGAAGCACCGGCUAACUCCGUGCCAGCAGCCGCGGUAAUACGGAGGGUGCAAGCGUUAAUCGGAAUUACUGGGCGUAAAGCGCACGCAGGCGGUCUGUCAAGUCGGAUGUGAAAUCCCCGGGCUCAACCUGGGAACUGCAUUCGAAACUGGCAGGCUUGAGUCUUGUAGAGGGGGGUAGAAUUCCAGGUGUAGCGGUGAAAUGCGUAGAGAUCUGGAGGAAUACCGGUGGCGAAGGCGGCCCCCUGGACAAAGACUGACGCUCAGGUGCGAAAGCGUGGGGAGCAAACAGGAUUAGAUACCCUGGUAGUCCACGCCGUAAACGAUGUCUACUUGGAGGUUGUGCCCUUGAGGCGUGGCUUCCGGAGCUAACGCGUUAAGUAGACCGCCUGGGGAGUACGGCCGCAAGGUUAAAACUCAAAUGAAUUGACGGGGGCCCGCACAAGCGGUGGAGCAUGUGGUUUAAUUCGAUGCAACGCGAAGAACCUUACCUGGUCUUGACAUCCACAGAACUUUCCAGAGAUGGAUUGGUGCCUUCGGGAACUGUGAGACAGGUGCUGCAUGGCUGUCGUCAGCUCGUGUUGUGAAAUGUUGGGUUAAGUCCCGCAACGAGCGCAACCCUUAUCCUUUGUUGCCAGCGAUUAGGUCGGGAACUCAAAGGAGACUGCCAGUGAUAAACUGGAGGAAGGUGGGGAUGACGUCAAGUCAUCAUGGCCCUUACGACCAGGGCUACACACGUGCUACAAUGGCGCAUACAAAGAGAAGCGACCUCGCGAGAGCAAGCGGACCUCAUAAAGUGCGUCGUAGUCCGGAUUGGAGUCUGCAACUCGACUCCAUGAAGUCGGAAUCGCUAGUAAUCGUGGAUCAGAAUGCCACGGUGAAUACGUUCCCGGGCCUUGUACACACCGCCCGUCACACCAUGGGAGUGGGUUGCAAAAGAAGUAGGUAGCUUAACCUUCGGGAGGGCGCUUACCACUUUGUGAUUCAUGACUGGGGUGAAGUCGUAACAAGGUAACCGUAGGGGAACCUGCGGUUGGAUCACCUCCUUACCUUAAAGAAGC